GCGCGCGGUUCUUCUUCACUUUCGCUUGCUGCCAGGAGAGUGUGCUCCCAAGCCGGGAGUGCUUUCCCAAGCUUGGGUGUGCUUUCCAAGCCGGGCGCCUUCAUCAAGUUCCCAUUGCACUGAACUGAAUGGUGCUGUACAGUUUUUUCUCGUUAAUGCCAUCAUCAAUACUCAGAUCACUUUCUUAAGAAGAAUUAUUCACACUGCUGCCACCUAAAUUAAUGCAGCAUUUCCAGAAUACAUUUGACUGGUAUAUAUGUAAUCAGAAAUAAACAUUUUUGGACUUCUACCCUGGAUCUAUGAGAACCAGAGUAAUAUUAAAAAUGACAUGGUGAUUUAUUCAUGUUUCUUGAUUAACUUUUUACCAUCAAAUUUGUGACAGCUAAAAACUCUUUCAGUUUUGAUGAUGAUUAAUCCAUAUGAUGUGGCAGAUAUCCAAUAAGUAUGAUACUGUGAGUUUUUCUUGAUUUUCCUGUAUCUACAAAAUUGUGUUUAUUCACUUUUCCUGUAUUAUGUGUCAAUGUCUUCCAAAUUUUUAUUUUCUCUCAUGUCCUUAUUCUUUCCAGAAAUAAUUCUUGUGAAGCAGCAUCCUCAUAUAAUUCAUUGACAUUACAGUUCUUGAUAGAGUUGUGUUUCUUGUCACAUCUCUUAUUACUUAAAUCCUAUAUUAAUUUCUUUGUAAGACUCUGGACAGAAACAGAAGUGUGACAUUUGACAGCAAAGACCAUAGUCUUAUGUAAUAGUAGACAACAGUAGUAGUCUGUUCAGCACAAUCAUUAAUUGUUCAGGUAUUCAUUCUAUUCAAACAUAUGAUUUUUUUUUUUUUUUUGAAAAAAAAAGUGAUUGAUCAUAGCCAUUGAUAAAAACCUUAUACGGAUCCUUAUAUUAAAAAUUCCCCUGUGAGUUGGUCAGAUUUCUGCUCCAGAAGUCUGCAAGGGAAAAUGUAAGAUAUCUUGGACUCUUUUUUAUUAUUAUUAUUUAGCUAUAUUGUUAUGUACAUGCAUUACAUUACACACUUGUUUGGAAAUAUUUAGCUAGUAAACAAUGUCCAUACCAGAUUCUGGGUAUACUAAACAAUAAGAGUUGUUUAGUGUAAGAACUGGGGGCCCAAAGCCUGGACACAGAACUCUAGAUGGGACCCUCACUAAGGCAGAGUAGAGGGGUAUGGUUACCUCCCUUACCUUACUGGUCACUCCUCUUUUGACACAGUCCACAGUAUGGUUAGCCUUCUGGCCUACAAGCACACACUGUUGGCUCAUAUACAGAACCUCCAAGUAUUUCUCAGAGGACUGCUCACACCGAGUUCUCCCUAUCUAUUUAGAUGUCUGGGAUUGCCUUGACCCAGAUGUUGUACCUUGCAAUUGGCUUUGUUGAAGCUCAUUAGACUCACAUGGGCGUUCUCAAGCUUGUCCAGGUCUCUGUCUCCCUUUCUACACUUUUAUAAACAUAUAUUAUUAUGUUUCCCUUUUCCCAGUCACUGGGGAAUUUUGCUCUUCUCUUAUAGUGGGAGGGAUUUUGUUCCCCCAGCCCUCACCUAGAAUUUCAAGGUCUUGAGAGACUGCCGCAUUAAAGUGUUAAUGCCCACGUCAGCACUACAGGUCCACUUGUGCUUAUCUGGACUUCUAUAACCAACAAUCAACAGUAGAUUACAUGGCCACACAAAUGAGAACUCUUAUGAUUACAAUUACAGUUUCACUCAUAGUGCAGAGCACCUUCAUCUAACCGCAUUCUAACGGACUUGAACAAUAACUCUUAAGGAGCUUGGCUGUGCCUAAUGAGAACUUUUAUGACUAGCUUGUAGAAUAGUGCUCUUUAUUGGAGCAACAGAUUACAGAUUCUUAUGAAUUGCUGGUGAUAAAUACACAGUAUACAGAGCAUGUGCAAAUAUCAAUAAUGUGAAUAAUAAAGUCAACUGUAAACACAUUAAACUAUGGAAUGAUUUUACAGAGAUUUCUAAGUUUCACAGGAAAAGGACUCAAUGUAACUGAGUGUGUGAAUCUUACACAAUAGAUGUCCCUAUGUAGGGAAAAGAGAGGCUAAGCCCGUUGACUGGUCCCAGAAGUCAGUGGUGUUCUCCUGUCUCAACUGCAGUGGUAUCUUCCCCAGUAUUCCUUCUUUUUUUUUAAGCCAGUUUUAUACAAUUUUCUUACUUUCAGACAGAACUCGAGUGACUCUAAUCAUAACUAUAUUUGUUGUGACUGGUGCAAAUAAAAAUUGAAAAGCUGCUGAGUCAGGAUGACUACUAUGCAGUUUAUCAGUUCCACAAUACCACCAAGUUCCCACCCCUGUGAUCUUAUCAUGGAGCCUGACCGAGAAGUUUCACAGCUCGUUCCACCGCCUGUGCUGUAUCUCUUAGAGUCAGCAUACCAAGCUCCCCUGAUGCUUCUAACAAUCUAAAGUUUUCAGGUGUAGCAGACCAAAGAAAAAAGCCUCAUCUGUAAUAUGCCUAGAAUUGUCUCAAACACUUGCAAGAUAGGACAAUCACCAUGACAUCAAACUGAAGGCCAAAGAGUUGGUUUGGAAGGGGGAGUUCUGUGCAAACAGGAUGAGCUUGUUCCCUCCAAAACUUCCCUGUUUUGCUGCAGAAAUUUUGUCUGCAAAACUGCAACCUGAUUUUGCCAAACUGUUUUUUGCAAACUUGUUUGUUGCAAACUUACAGAUGAGCUUGAGAGAGUGAACCCUGUAAAUUUAGAAGGCAUUGAAGGAGGCCUGAGAGAACCUCUAGGGGGCUUUGAGAUUUCGAUACUUUGAAAAUUCUGGAUGAGUUCUCCCACAAACCAAGGACCACCCCUUUGGCUGGACCAGCACUGGAACCUGGACUGGUGAUCUCUUUCUUUGCCUGUUUUGCUCUCUCUCCCCUCAUCUCUCUCUCUCUCUCUUUUCUUUCUUUUUCUCUCAUAAAGUGAUUAAUGCGAGGCUUAUUUGAUUUCUUAUAAAGUCACAUAGUUUACCCUUGCAGUUUAGAGAGAUAUAAUUGUAAGAGUGCUAAUACUUUUAAGAUAAUUGUAAUACAGAGAUUCUCAUUAAAAAAGUUGAUUGUGUCUGGACCUUGAGUAUUGUUUUACCUUGAUCUAACUGGGGGGAUUUGUGAAUCUUAUCACCAGUCCCUCCCUUCACGGACAGGAAGUGACAGCAGUGCUAUGUUGCUUAGGAAAAUAUCAUGGAACAGACGCCUUUCAUUUUCACUGUAUUCCCCACAGGUGGUUUCUUCUAUGCUUUUGUUCCUUUAAGUGUGGUAUCUCUCAAUCUGAGGUUUUCUUCUGCUGCUUCCUAAAGUAACAGUAGCUCCUGGCUCUUUUCUGUCAUGCAGAAGUGUAUCUCCUUUACCAGUUUAUUUGCUAGCUGCUAAUAAAUCCAACUAGUGAAGAUCAGGUUUGUGGCCACCUGAGGAACUUGAUCACCUACAAGUCUAUGGGUCCCAAUGAGAUGCAUCCCAGAGUCCUGAGAGAAUUUGCUGAUGUAGUUGCCAAGCCACUCUUUGUGAUAUUUGAACAGUUGUGGCAAUCAGGAGAAGACCCUGGUAACUGGAAGAAAAGGCAGCAUCAUACCCAUUUUUAAUAAGGGUAAAAGGGAUGAUCCUGAGAACUACUGUCCUAUCAGUCUCACCUCUGUACCAGGAAAGAGAGCAGAUCCUCCUGGAAGCUAUACUAAGAUACAUGGAAGGCAAGGAGGUGAAGUAGGAGAACCAGCAUGGCUUCACCAGUGCCAAAUCCUGUUUGACUAACAUGGUGGCCUUUUAUGAUGGUGUCACUGCAUCUGUGUAUAAGGGAAGAGACACUGAUGUCAUCUAUCUGGUCUUCAGUAAGGCCUUUUACAUGAUACCCCCAUUACAUUCUUCUCUCCAAAUUGGAAAUAUAUGGAUUUGAUGGGUGGACUGUUCAAUGGAUGAAGAACUGGCUGCAGGAUUGAGUCCAGAGAGUUGAACUGACUAGGAAAUUAUUCCAACAACAAAGAAAUGGCAUAUUGACUUUUUUGAUGAAGAAUGCUCAUUACACUAACAGUAAGAAAAAGUCACUUUUGUACUGACACAUGAGUAUUGUUUCUUUGUGACAUGUAUUCUGAUACUUUCUUACUUAUUUGUGUGUGUCUUACUUUGGUAUCACUAAAACAAAGGAAAAUAAACAUCACUAGCUGUGUAAAGGAGGGUCAGCUGCGAUUUAGAUCGAAAGGAAGAAAAAUGUUCAGUGUAAAACUUCACUUACGUGCCCCAAACAUACCUAUGUUCAUGGUGAUUAUCUACUAGGAAAAACCACAGUGUGAUUGCCAAAUUUACUCCUCAAGACAGAGGGAAAAGGAACAAAAGAGUCAUGUUACUGUGUUUUCCCACCAGACUUUUCUGUCAUUUGAAAAUAUGAAAAAGCUUAUACUGCUUUUUUUGGGCAGUCUAAGUACUAUUCUCAGCUCAUUAUAGUGCUUAUCCUCCUUAUCUUUUGCAGCAGUCAGAGUUGUCAAAAUGUGCAGGCAUUUUUUCCUCAGCAAAUACGUGUAGCUCCCUGGCAGAACUCUCGGGUAUCUGAGCUGGCAGCUUUGGUGCUGUCACUUGAACUGUUACGUACAUGUACUGCUGAUUAGUUCUUCUUGCUGUUGUAUUCACCCACAUCAUUGUUGCUUGUCUUGUAGAUGUUAUUUUUCUUUCAUUAUAACUUGUGCUCUUUCACUUUUUUUCACUGAGACUUCCUUGAAACUGAGAGUUAUUUUUUGUCUCAUCUUUUUAAUCACAUCAUACAAGCAAAAUAUGCAUAAAGGGGUCAUUUUCUCAUUUAGUUUUCUUUGAGAAUUAGAACUGUGAUAUUCCACUGAACAUACGUAUAUAAUGAAAGUUUAUGAGCAUGACUGAAUCACGUAAGUGAAACUGUACAUAUCUGUGUUGUACAGACAUGACAGAAAAAUAAGAAACCUAAGGGAAAUAUGGCAGUCAUAACUGUUUUCUUACCAUCACUUAGGUUGUUCUGUCAUCUUCAUAAUUUCAUCUAGCCAGUUUCAUAUAUGCCAUGAUAUCCUAACAUAAUUUUGGUAAUGUUAUUCCUGAUAUAAAAUGGAAAGUCUACUUUGUGCAAAGGAGAAAUCAUAAAAGGGAUUUAGAAAUUAAUAAGCCAAAAAAUGGUGGAGGAGAUCGAGCAGGCUAAAAGGCAAGAUGAGCUCCAAAGUUAAUACUAUGAGAAAGAGAAUAAUUCAACUCUUUUAUUUGUUGAUGACAUAGUAGGUAUUAGAAGGCAAGUCAUUUUGCACAUGUACAGCAAGUUUCAUAACAGUAACAAAAACAAACCAAAAACCACAGUGUUAUCUUAGAGAAGGUACGAAUAAAUAGAAUUACAAGUAUACUUCUGAGGGUGAAGGAAAUCUCUUGAUAUUGAGAGAAUUAACAUAGUUUGAUCAGGUUUUUUUUUGUUUGUUUUUUGUUUUUUUUUUAAUGGUAAAUUUAUAAAUAUCAUUAUAGCAUUCAACAUUAAAAAAAAUCUAAAAAAUCCAGCAGUUAAAAUCUAUUAAAAUAUUUUAAUAUUGUUAUUUACAUUGUGAAGUGCAGUUGUAUUUUGUUUAUGCUUUAGGCUCUUCUGUGAAAUUAUUCUCCUAAAUUUUUCAAAAUGACAAAAGCAUUUGUGAGAUAGAAAAUAAUUUACCUGCCAGGUCUAAUUACAGUGCAUAAAUGCUUUCUUGGGUAGAAAAUGCUAGAGCCUUUAUUAAUGAAAAAGAGAAACGUGUAACAAGAAUCAAGCACUGGAAAUUCAAUCCAGAUAAAUUCAAAUACUAAAGAUAAAGAAGAUUUAUAACUCCAGACUUAAACAACCAUUAGAAGCAGUAGAUUCUUCAUCACUGAAUAUUUUUCAAAAUCAUGAUUGAGUCCUGUAUACAUGCCUACCUUGUGUACCAUUUCAGAACAGCCAUCUGAUUUUUGUUUUUCAAAAUUCGGUGAUCAUAAGGGCAGGACUACUGUUAGUCUAGAUGGAGUUGACAUAGGUCUUGAUGUGAUAGUCUCAUGAACCAUAAAUAUUUCCAAGGCACAAAGCUACACUACAGAUAUUUCCAAGAUGUGUCUAGCAUGAAAACACAGUUUUCAUGAAAAAACUUAGGCAUGAACAGAGAUGUAAGGCUGUCCUAUUCUAGUUAAAUGAUUUGAUAGCCUGUGAGUCGGUCAAUUUACUCAAUCCAUGUGACUUAGGGGGUUUUAAUUCUUUCCAAUUUCUAUGCAUCUGCUCUCAUCACUAGAUUGUUAUGCAAAAGAUUGCAUGGCACAUUUUAGAAUGAAUGUAAUUGUUUUUGUUUGUUUGUUUGUUUUUUUGUAUGAUUUACACUUCAUAAAAGACAUUGUUUCCUGUUUGAUUUCAAUGAAUCUCCCAGACUGGUACUUGUCAUACCAGCGGUCCCUGUACACAGUCUCUAAAUACAGAUUAAGCUCAAACCAGAGAAGACUUCUACAAAGUCAGUUGCUAGUGUUAGGUAUUUGUGAGACUCUUCAGUCCAGAAGGCAUAGUGACAAUUUAAAUUUUGUAAGUGAAUAUUUUAGGAAGAAAAUAGGUUUUAUUGAUUGCUUCCUUAGUCAGAGAGAAAUAUCUCAUUUGCCUGCCCACUCAUCUAAUCUUAUACUCGUUAGGAAAUUAUCAUGACUGCUUUCCUAAGAAAAUCAGUUUUAGUCAAAUAUAUGUUCUUCAAAGAAAAGAUAAUUGGCUGUAACUCUCUGUUUGCUCAUACAUAGCUAUCUUGAUAAAAAUCAAGAAAAGAAACUCAUAGUUUGUGAAACCAAUAUUUAAUUAUAAUAAAACUUUUUUUCCCCCAAAAGAUGAUCCAGAAAUAAGCAAUUAUAUUGAUUAGAUUUUGCAUAGUAAUUCCAAUUUUAAUUCUUCAAAUAUCUUGUGAAAAAAAUUGUUAUUUUACACGACAGGAAAUGUUUGUCUUUAGAAAGAUUUAUCUUUCUCUAUUCCCAUAGGAGUAUAAUCUGAGUUUUAACCCAUCAUAUACAUAUUUACAUAUGUGCAUACUUUUUGGUGCUUAACUGUGUUUCAUACUGCUAACACAAAUUUGGGGAAAAGGAUAAUUUGAGAUUUGUGCUUCCCAUAUGUCUAAUACAAUUUGCAAGCCAUCUACUGUAUCACUUGUAAGCUUCAGAUUCUUUUCAUAUGAUUUGAUUUUCUAUCGAGGCAACAAGAUGGACUUCUGUUUUGCUUCAGAAAUCAUUCCCUGACAUCACCACACACUUUAAGGUAGCUGAGACCAAUUCAGCCUUUUGCAGCCUUUUAAGUAUCUGAGCACUGCACUUCAAAAAUGUUAUCAGUUGAAUUUGUUGAUCUGAGUAUGUACCAAAACAGAUACCAUGCAGCAUCUCUAAGUUGUAUGUUAGUAUAAAUUAGAGGUCAGAAAGCAUUUUUUUGAAAGGAACUUUAGGAAGUUCCCAUGAAGAAGAGAUGCUCAAAUAUUAGUUUUGUUUUCUUGCUGAUAUAUGUAGUGAAUCUCUCCUACAUCUGAAAGUUCAAAACUGUUGUAUGCGUAGCGAGGGAAACGAGGUGUGUUGUAGGCGUAGCGAGGGAAACGAGGUGUGACGCGUGCAGGUUCCUAUGCCACCUGUGUGUUAUGCCACCUGUGUGUGCCAAGUGUAACUUCGUGAUUGGAGGAAACACUUGUAUUUAAACACGUAGCCUAUAGCAAUAAA